rnacentral:rRNA from 1 species
CCUACGGGUGGCAGCAGUGAGGAAUAUUGGUCAAUGGGCGGGAGCCUGAACCAGCCAAGCCGCGUGAGGGAAGAAGGUACAGCGUAUCGUAACCCUCUUUUGUCAGGGAACAAAGGCGGGGACUAGUCCCCGGAUGAGGGUACCUGAAGAAAAAGCAUCGGCUAACACCGUGCCAGCAGCCGCGGUAAUCCGGGGGAUGCGAGGGUUAUCCGGAUUUAUUGGGUUUAAAGGGUGAGCAGAGGGCCUGUUAAGUCAGCGGUAAAAGCCCGGGGCUCAACCCCGGCGAGCCGUUGAAACUGGGGGGCUGGAGUUGGAGAGAAGUACGCGGAAUGCGGGGUGUAGCGGUGAAAUGCUUAGAUAUCGCGCAGAACCCCGAUUGCGAAGGCAGCGUACCGGCUCCACACUGACGCUGAGGCACGAAAGCGUGGGUAGCGAACAGGAUUAGAUACCCUUGUAGUC